rnacentral:rRNA from 1 species
GACGAACGCUGGCGGCGUGCUUAACACAUGCAAGUCGAACGGAACGGCCCUGCUUUUGGGGGCUGCUCGAGUGGCGAACGGGUGAGUAACACGUGAGUAACCUGUCCUUGACUGUGGGAUAACUUCAGGCAACUGGGUCUAAUACCGGAUAGGAGCUCCUGCUGCUUGGUGGGGGUUGGUAGGUUUCGGCGGUUGGGGAUGGACUAGCGGCUUAUGAGCUUGAUGGAGGGGUGGUGGCUGACCAAGGCUUUGACGGGUAGCCGGCCUGAGAGGGUGAGCGGCCUCAGUCGGACUGAGACUCGGACCAGACUCCGACGGGUGGCAGAAGUGGCGAAGAGUGAAAUAUGAGCGGAAGCCUGAGGCAGCAACGCCGCGGGCGGGAUGACGGCCUUCGGGUUGGAGUCCGAUUGCGCCUUUGACGAAGAGUGUGUGAACGUAACGGGUAGAGAAGCACCGGCUAACUACGUG